AUUGAACGCUGGCGGCAUGCCUUACACAUGCAAGUCGAACGGUAACGGGCCUUCGGGUGCCGACGAGUGGCGAACGGGUGAGCAAUGUAUCGGAACGUACCUUUCAGUGGGGGAUAACGUAGCGAAAGUUACGCUAAUACCGCAUAUUCUGUGCGCAGGAAAGCAGGGGAUCGCAAGACCUUGCGCUGAUUGAGCGGCCGAUAUCAGAUUAGCUAGUUGGUGAGGUAAAGGCUCACCAAGGCGACGAUCUGUAGCGGGUCUGAGAGGAUGAUCCGCCACACUGGAACUGAGACACGGUCCAGACUCCUACGGGAGGCAGCAGUGGGGAAUUUUGGACAAUGGGGGCAACCCUGAUCCAGCCAUGCCGCGUGAGUGAAGAAGGCCUUCGGGUUGUAAAGCUCUUUCGGCCGGGAAGAAAUCGUAUCAGCUAAUACCUGGUGCGGAUGACGGUACCGGCAUAAGAGGCACCGGCUAACUACGUGCCAGCAGCCGCAGUAAAAC
rnacentral:rRNA from 1 species